AAUUUCUGUCUUUUUAUAAUUAUUUUUUAAAUUUUAUUUUUAAGUUAAAAAGCUUAAAUUUUUUUAAAAGACGAGAAGACCCUAUAGAGUUUAAUUUUUUCUUUAUUUUUAAUUAGAAAUUUUUUUAAUAGAAGAAUUUGGUUGGGGUGACUUAAAGAUUAAAUAAAUUCUUUAAUUUUUUAAUUGAUGAUUAUUAAAUGAUAAAUUUAGUUUUUAAAUUUAAAAAAAUUACCUUAGGGAUAACAGCGUAAUUUUUUUUAGGAGUUUUUAUUUUAAGAAAAGUUUGCGACCUCGAUGUUGGAUUAAAAUUUAUUUUAGGUGCAGUAACUUAAUAAUUAGGUCUGUUCGACCUUUAAAAUUUUACAUGAUCUGAGUUUAAACCGGUGUAAGCCAGGUUGGAUUCUAUCUUUAAAUAGAUCUAGUAUUUUAGUACGAAAGGACCAAAUAUUGAUUAUAUUUUAAUUG
rnacentral:rRNA from 1 species